rnacentral:misc_RNA from 1 species
GAUGAAGAACGCAGCGAAAUGCGAUACGUAGUGUGAAUUGCAGAAUUCAGUGAAUCAUCGAAUCUUUGAACGCACAUUGCACCUCUCGGUAUUCCGGGAGGUAUGCCUGUUCGAGCGUCAUUUGUACCCUCAAGCUCUGCUUGGUGUUGGGUGCUUGUUCCGCCUCUGUGUGUGAACUCGCCUCAAAACAAUUGGCAGCCGGCGUACUUGUUUCGGAGCGCAGCACAUUUUGCGAUCCAGAUCAACGUACAGCGGCAUCCAAGAAGCCUUAUUUAACGCUCUUGACCUCGGAUCAGGUAGGGAUACCCGCUGAACUUAAGCAUAUCAAUAAGCGGAGGA